GGACGCCAGUUUUGGCGGAGCCAUCCUUGGGAUACCACCCUUGUAGUACUGGGACUCUAACCAUAGGCCAUGAAUCUGGUCUUGGGACACUGUCAGGUGGGCAGUUUGACUGGGGCGGUCGCCUCCCACAAGGUAACGGAGGCGCUCAAAGGUUCUCGCAGUACGGUCGGAAAUCGUACGUAGAGUGUAAAGGCAAAAGAGAGCUUGAUUGCAAGACAUACAGGGCGAGCAAGGAUGAAAAUCGGACUUAGUGAUC
rnacentral:rRNA from 1 species